rnacentral:rRNA from 1 species
CUGACCAGCCANUAGCGUGCAGGAUGACGGCCCUAUGGGUUGUAAACUGCUUUUAUACAGGGAUAAAGUGAGGGACGUGUCCCUUUUUGUAGGUACUGUAUGAAUAAGGACCGGCUAAUUCCGUG